rnacentral:siRNA from 1 species
GGAUGAAACGAUGAAAGCCUAUAG